rnacentral:rRNA from 1 species
UACGAAGGGGGCUAGCGUUGCUCGGAAUCACUGGGCGUAAAGGGUGCGUAGGCGGGUCUUUAAGUCAGGGGUGAAAUCCUGGAGCUCAACUCCAGAACUGCCUUUGAUACUGAGGAUCUUGAGUUCGGGAGAGGUGAGUGGAACUGCGAGUGUAGAGGUGAAAUUCGUAGAUAUUCGCAAGAACACCAGUGGCGAAGGCGGCUCACUGGCCCGAUACUGACGUUCAGGUACGAAAGCGUGGGUAGCAAACAGG